rnacentral:rRNA from 1 species
GAUGAACGCUGGCGGCGUGCCUAAUACAUGCAAGUCGAGCGAACAGACGAGGAGCUUGCUCCUCUGACGUUAGCGGCGGACGGGUGAGUAACACGUGGAUAACCUACCUAUAAGACUGGGAUAACUUCGGGAAACCGGAGCUAAUACCGGAUAACAUAUUGAACCGCAUGGUUCAAUAGUGAAAGACGGCUUUGCUGUCACUUAUAGAUGGAUCCGCGCCGCAUUAGCUAGUUGGUAAGGUAACGGCUUACCAAGGCGACGAUGCGUAGCCGACCUGAGAGGGUGAUCGGCCACACUGGAACUGAGACACGGUCCAGACUCCUACGGGAGGCAGCAGUAGGGAAUCUUCCGCAAUGGGCGAAAGCCUGACGGAGCAACGCCGCGUGAGUGAUGAAGGUCUUCGGAUCGUAAAACUCUGUUAUUAGGGAAGAACAAAUGUGUAAGUAACUGUGCACGUCUUGACGGUACCUAAUCAGAAAGCCACGGCUAACUACGUG